GACGAACGCUGGCGGCGUGCUUAACACAUGCAAGUCGAACGGAAAGGCCCUGCUUUUGUGGGGUGCUCGAGUGGCGAACGGGUGAGUAACACGUGAGUAACCUGCCCUUGACUUUGGGAUAACUUCAGGAAACUGGGGCUAAUACCGGAUAGGAGCUCCUGCUGCAUGGUGGGGGUUGGAAAGUUUCGGCGGUUGGGGAUGGACUCGCGGCUUAUCAGCUUGUUGGUGGGGUAGGGGCUUACCAAGGCUUUGACGGGUAGCCGGCCUGAGAGGGUGACCGGCCACAUUGGGACUGAGAUACGGCCCAGACGCCUACGGGAGGCAGCAGUGGGGAAUAUUGCACAAUGGGCGGAAGCCUGAGGCAACAACGCCGCGUGCGGGAUGACGUCCUUCGAGUUGUAAACCGCUUUCGCCUGUGACGAAGCGUGAGUGACGGUAAUGGGUAAAGAAGCACCGGCUAACUACGUG
rnacentral:rRNA from 1 species